AUUGUUUAAAAUACUUGUAGCAUAACUAAAUUGUAUUAUCUGCAGACUUUUUUUUUUAGUUUCGUAUUUAAUAUGUAUGUCUACGCAUUUCUUGCAAAUUGGUCUUAGUCUGUUUUGUAAUCUCUUGAAUAUUUGCCCCUUUUUUUACUUUUUUGUUUAUUAAACUUUUCCGAACAACUUUAAGCAGUGCAAAAUACACAUUCAAAAUGCGCGUGUAUAAUUGAACAAUAUAAAUAAAUUCACAAACUUACUAAGGCAGGAAAUAAAAUCAAGAAGAGGAAUAAAAUAAAGAAUAAAAUCAAUUUUGCCGAGAUCCAUGAGCGUGACGUCAUUGAAACAUGGCGGCGCCCAGAGAGACGUACACAGAUAAACGUUUUUAAGCUAAUAAUAUGCAUGAGUGAGUCAAGGUUAAAAAAUUACACGAUACUUAAAAAUAUUAUUUACUAAGCGCUUUCAGUUACAUGUGCAGUAAUUUCCAUAUGCUUCUUUAAAAGCAAGUCUGAAUAAACUUUGUAAACUCGUCAUUUGUAGUCUUGUUAGUGCGCACCUGCGCAUGCGUCAUUUUCUCGUCUGAUUUGAACAAGAACUGGUUUAUAUGUUGACAGCAAAUGUCUUUCUUGUUUUACUCUUUUAAUCUUAUUUUACAAUUUCUAGCUUGGUGAACUCGUGUUUAAUGCAAGAAGAGCCAAACUAACCCCUUUAAAUGGCCAGAAUUGGUUGUGGGCUCUUGCACACAUUUGCACUAUUGACCUUAAUAUUUCUGACUUCUGUUCUUCAUAUCCUGGUGCACAAGGACAAGAAUGUUUCAUUAGCCUUUUCAGAAGAAUGGCGACAUAGUUCAGAUAUCUCAACCAGGAGCGUUCAAUCCCAGAAGAACUUUAGCAAUAAUCUUAAUUUAUCUGCUGAUCCCAGGACUCACACUAGAGAUCAGUGUAGUAUAACUGUGGAGAGCCGCAUCGACUGUGGCCGUGAUAGAUCUUUGAGUCAAGCCGAUUGUGAGGGAAGAGGAUGUUGCUAUGUGCCUCUACCACAGUCUGGAUUUAGAGGACCACCAUGGUGUUUCUACCCCGUCCGUUACCCAGGCUACCAAAUGGGGCCCUUGUUACCCACAGAGAGGGGCCAAAGGGCCAUGCUGACCCGUUCUGCACCCUCAUACCUGCCCCGGGACAUUCCCACAUUGCAGCUAGAUGUGAUGGCCGAGUCCUUGGGUCGUCUUCACCUCACUCUGAAGGAUCCAGCAACUCCACGAUACGAGGUCCCCUUUGUGACGUCCCAAUCCAGGGGUCACAAGGACACACAAAACCCCCUCUACGAUGUUGACUUUCAACCAGAUCCAUUUGGGUUUAUUGUACGGCGAAAAUCCAAUGGCCGUGUUCUCCUGAAUACUACAAUAGGCCCCCUCCUGUUUGCAGAUCAGUAUCUACAGCUCUCCACCAGCAUUGCUUCCUCUCUGAUAUCUGGACUGGGUGAACAUUACACCCCCAUCACACUGGACCUCAAUUGGAGCUCUGUUUCAUUAUGGAACAGAGACAUGGCACCACAUAGAAGUGCCAACCUGUAUGGCUCCCACCCUUUCUUCCUAGUCCAAGAAGGUGAUGGACAGGCACAUGGAGUCUUCCUUCUCAACAGCAAUGCAAUGGAAGUGUUAACGCAGCCCGCUCCAGCAUUAACAUGGGUGACCGUUGGAGGAAUACUGGACUUCUACAUCUUCUUAGGCCCAAGUCCUCAGAGUGUGAUACAGCAGUACCAUGAGGUUAUAGGUUAUCCUAUGAUGCCACCCUACUGGUCACUGGGCUUCCACCUCUGUCGCUGGGGUUAUACGUCCACCAACAUCACAAGAACAGUGGUACAGCUCAUGCGCCAGGCUAAGAUCCCACUAGAUGUACAGUGGAAUGACCUUGAUUAUGCAGACCAAAGAAGAGUCUUUACUUUUGAUCCACAACGGUUUGGAGAUCUGCCCCAAAUGGUUGAAGAGUUCCAUCAGCUGGGCAUGAAGUAUGUGCUCAUUCUGGAUCCAGGCAUCAGUAGCACGAGUCCUCCUGGUUCAUACAAACCCUUUGAUGAUGGGCUGAAGAGGGGAGUGUUCAUCACCAACUCCACUGGACAGAUCCUAAUUGGGAAGGUUUGGCCAGGUCCAACUGCAUUCCCAGAUUUCACCAAUCCUACAACACAGGACUGGUGGAUGGACUGUAUCAGAGUCUUUCACAACAUGGUACCUGUGGAUGGACUCUGGAUAGACAUGAAUGAGCCGUCAAAUUUUAUCCAGGGAUCUGUGGAUGGAUGUCCUGACUCUGACUUGGAGAAACCACCUUAUACACCAGGUGUGAUUGGAUGUCAGUUAAACUCAGGAACUUUGUGUAUGUCCGCUCAGCAGUAUCUGUCCAAUCAUUACAAUCUGCACAAUCUCUACGGACUGACUGAGGCCAUCGCCACCCAUAGGGCACUGUUGAAAGUAAAGGGCACUCGUCCAUUUGUCCUAUCCCGGUCGUCUUUUCCAGGACUUGGCCGUUUCUCUGCACACUGGACAGGAGAUGUGCAGAGUGACUGGGAGCAACUGCGCUUUUCAAUACCUGCUGUGCUCCUGUUUGGACUCUAUGGCGUUCCAUUAGUGGGAGCUGAUGUAUGUGGAUUUGGUGGAGACACUACUGAAGAGCUGUGUGUGCGCUGGACACAACUCGGAGCCUUUUACCCUUUUAUGAGAAAUCAUAACGACAAACCCAAUGCUCCCCAAGAACCAUAUGUAUUUAGCCAGCAAGCCCAAGAUGCCAUGAGGACUGUGAUUACACUGCGAUACUCUCUCCUGCCCUUCCUCUACACACUCUUCCAUCAUGCACACACCUCUGCCAGCACCGUGGCUCGUUCCCUCUUCUUUGAGUUCCCCACUGAUCCAAAUUGCCAGACCAUUGACAGGCAGUUCCUGUGGGGGAGCUCACUGCUUAUCAGUCCGGUUCUGGAACAGGGAGCAGUGGAGGUGACGGCUUAUCUCCCCCUGGGGACUUGGUACAGUCUGCACAAUGGGCAAGCAUAUUACAGUAAAGGGCAAUACAUUGUGUUCCCUGCCCCUUUGGACACCAUUAACAUUCAUGUGAGAGAGGGGAGCAUCAUCCCGCAGCAGGUUCCCGCAUUGACGACUACAGCAUCUCGCAGAAACCCUUUCACUCUGAUCGUGGCACUGUCUGCAGAAAAUUGGGCCAAAGGUGAUCUUUUCUGGGAUGAUGGGGAAAGUCUGGACACUUUUGAGCGGGGAGAUUAUUCAUAUGUUCUUUUCUUUGCUGAAGAGUCUUAUGUGGUCAGUAAGCCAGUCAAAUUAAUCAAAUCUCUCGAUCGUUUGGUCCUUGGAGAAGUACGUGUUUUCGGAGUUCAGACUCCACCUACAGAAGUGUGGGCCAAUGGACAAAAGGUUCAUGACUUCUCGUACAGCCCAGACACCAAGGUUCUUACAGUGCCUGGACUGGACUUGCCCAUGACUGCCAUGUUCACCGUACAGUGGAGCUGAUGAGAAAUCUCUGCUGUAAAUGAUCUGUGCUUUGGAUAUGUUGAAUAUGAAUUGCUUUGGCUUAUUAUAAACAGGACCGACCACCGACGUCCUGCCUCUAGCGUUGCGUCCAGAGGAAGCGCAGUGUCUUUCCGGAAGCAACGGAAUGUCAGUGGGCGUGGCUUCGGUCUGUCGUCAACGGCGGCGUGCGGAG